rnacentral:lncRNA from 1 species
GCAGUGUUGUGUGUAGGUUCUCCGUGGCGGACACGGGUACGAGUGGGCCCCGCUUUCGGCGCUGGUACCAGGAGCUCUGAGAGGAACGUGGGCGAGCUCGGAAGCUGCGCCAUGGAUCUCGGGUUUCCCAAGUUGGCCUCAAACUUUCUCUUAGCUGAGGAGGACCUUGAACUUCUGAUCCCGCUACCCAAACCCACCUCCAGAGUGCUGGGAUUAAGGGAGUUUUUGGCCUUUGAGGAUGUGGCUGUGGAGUUCAGCCAGGAAGAAUGGGUUUUGCUGGAUCCUUCUCAGAAGAAACUAUACAGAGAUGUGAUGCUGGAAACCUGCAAUAACCUUUCUUCAAUAGGUAAGAAUGCCACUGUUCAUUUUGUACAAGAACAAAUGUUCCUUGGUUCUGUGAUUUGGAAAGGAAAGAAAUCAAUUAGUAAACGGGAAUGGGUCCAGUGUGUGUCAAACCAAGAAAUUCAUUUUUCUGUUAUUUCUAAUAAUUUGUGAUGGGGGAUUAAAUCUCGAUUUUAGGCAUCAAAUGGGAAGACAAGAACAUUGACGAGCAGUACAAACACUCUUGGAGAUUCCUAAGGUAAUUCUCAUAUACAUGUAGAAGAAAGUUUUCCUUCAGAAACUCUUAGAUAUGUUAUGAAAAGUUGCAAGCAGAAAGCAGAGGGAGCUGCAGGGACGGCUCAGCUUUCAUGGGCAAUGGCUGUGCUUCCAGUCACCUCACCUACCUGAUGGCUCUCAGCCAUCUAUAUCUCCAUUUCCAGGGCAUCCAGUGCUCUCAUCUUCUCUGCAGUCACCAUGCAUGGGUAGAUGUACAGACUUACAUAUGGGCAAAACACCCGUGCAUAUAAAAUAAGUGAUAAAAUCCAAAAA